CAAGAUGGGACUGCGGCCGAUCAGGUAGUUAGCGGGGUAAUGGCCCACCAAGCCUAUAACCGGUGCGGGCUCUGAGAGGAGGAGCCCGGAGAUGGACACUGAGACAAGGGUCCAGGCCCUACGGGGCGCAGCAGGCGCGAAACCUUCAGAAUGCGCGAAAGCGCGAUGAUGCUAUACCGAGUGUCAUCCGCUGAGGGUGACUUUUCCUCGAUCUAAAACAUCGAGGGAAUAAGGGGAGGGCAAGCCUGGUGUCAGCCGCCGCGGUAAUACCAGCUCCCCAAGUGGUCGGAACGAUUAUUGGGCCUAAAGCAUCCGUAGCCGGCUUCACAGGUCUCUUGUUAAAUCCAACGGCUCAACCGUUGGACUGCAGGGGAUACCAUGGAGCUAGGGGGCGGGAGAAGGCGGACGGUACUCCAUGGGUAAGGGUAAAAUCCUUUGAUCCAUGGAAGAACCACCAGUGGCGAAGGCGGUCCGCUAGAACGCGCCCGACGGUGAGGGACUGAAAGCUGGGGGAGCGAACCGGAUUAGAUACCCGGGUAGUCCCAGCCGUAAACGAUGCAGGCUAGGUGAUAGAGAGGCUAUACGCCUUUCUAGUGCCGCAGGGAAGCCGAUAAGCCUGCCGCCUGGGGAGUACGGCCGCAAGACUGAUACUUAAAGGAAUUGGCGGGGGAGCACCACAAGGGGUGAAGCCUGCGGUUCAAUUGGAGUCAACGCCGGAAACCUUACCAAGGGUGACAGCAGGAUGAAGGUCACUGUAAAGAAAUUACCAGACGAGCUGAGAGGAGGUGCAUGGCCGUCGCCAGCUCGUGCCGUGAGGCGUCCUGUUAAGUCAGGAAACGAGCGAGACCCCCACUGCAAGUUGCUAUCAUUACCCGAAAGGGUGAUGGGGCUAAUUUGCAAGAGCGCCAUCGCUCAGAUGGAGGAAGGAGGGGGCCACGGCAGGUCAGUAUGCCCCGAAACCCUUGGGCCACACGCGGGCUGCAAUGAUAGGGACACUGGGCCCUGACCUCGAAAGAGGAAGGAAAUCCUCAAACCCUAUCCCAGUUAUGACUGAGGGCUGCAACCCGC
rnacentral:rRNA from 1 species